UGCCCCGUGGCUGAGUUGGUUACAGCGUCCGACUGUUACCUGCUUGCAUGAAUGCAUCGCAAUCGGAAGGUCGUGAGUUCGAGCCUCACCGGGGCAG